UCUAUGUAUACCAUAUGUCUGCCCAAUAUGGGCAAAUCUUCUCAUUCAUACACAAACAUGGUAUUAGAGCCACAAAACUAGGCUAAACCUAGUUUCUCUCAAACCUAGCCGACAGACCUUGUAUUGCCCAAGUCUGCCUUUUCGAUCAUGAAGCCUCCUACUGAUCAGGUCAUCAAUCCUCUUGCACAAGAUGCUCUUCCACCGAUUAUCUCAUCCACCUCAGGUACCUCUGCUGCUGCCGCCAUGACCAAUCCCAUAUCUAUUCCUAAUAUCAACAUCAACAACCUUGUUCCGAUCAAGCUAAAUAACCGAAACUAUCUUGUCUGGAAGUCCCCCUUUUCUACCUUUCUGAGGUCGAAUGAUCUUUACAAUCACGUUGAUGAUACGGUCAAUCCUCCACCGAUCACAGAUCCUUCAUAUCCCCACUGGUAUCGCACUGAUGGGUACAUAAGGUCAUGGAUUUUUGCCACUAUAUGAGAAAAUCUUCUCGAAGAGGUACACACAACUUAUCCUCUGCAAAACUGAUUUGGUCCUCCCUCAAAAAUAUGUUUGUCGAAAGGUCUCGUGGUCAAGCGUUAAGCAUUAAAGUUGAGAUUGCCUCCACUAAACUUACUGAUCAAGGGGUCGAAAAAUAUCUUCAUGUCAUAAAACUCUUGUCUGAUCAAUUGAAAGAGAUAAGGCAACCUCUCAGUGAUGAUGAACUUAUCAUCAGCAUUUUAGCCGGUCUUCCUAUUCAAUAUUAGUCCUUCAUUACCACCCUCUCCCUCACUCAUGGUUCUCUCAAUCUCGAGGAUUUCCAGAAUCAUUUACUUCAUCAUGAAAAUCGUAUCCAACGUUUCCACCCUCCUCAGUCCACUAUCCCAAAUCCUGAUUCCGCCCUUCAGGCAUACACUAGUCCUUCCUCUGGUUGUGGUGGCCGCGGCAAUGGUCAUGGUGGUGGACAAAAUAAUCGGGUGGCAACUCCCAAGGUCGAAGUGGCCGUAACAAUCCAACAUGCAGUCAGGAUACCUACUCCUCCAAUGGCUCUAGUGGCUCCUAUGGUCGUGGAUAUCAAAAGCAACCAUUAGGAACCCGUGGACGGGGAUACAAUCCGGGACAUGCUGCGGAGCGUCCACCUGCUCCUAACUCGGUGAGAUCCAUCCUACACUUCUCACCGAAUGUUACUGAUGGUUUUUCUGGACACGGUUCUCAUGCAGUAAUUUGUCAACUCUGUGACGGAGUGGGUCACACCGCCAUUCAGUGUUUUGAGUUUAUCAACCGAUCCCAAUCCUAUGAGCCACCAAAGUCCCUAGCAGCCCUAUCUCUCCAAGAGUCCACUUCCACAGAUGCCUACUUAGAUUCGGGUGCUUCGUCCCACAUGGUUGCAAACGAAGGAACGAAGGACAACAUCUCGGAAAAGACCCUGCUCAGCUGCCCUUCUAGGGGUUCCCUUUAUCCGGUGUCUUUAGGUUCCUCGAAGGCUCUGUCCGCUGUCUAUGUCUAACCAGAACUUUGGCAUCGCAGGCUCGGGCACCCGAAUAAGCAUGUUAUGGAAUUUAUUCAAUCUAGGAAAUUGAUUCCUAAAUUAUCUGCAUUUUCUAUUUUUGCAUAUCAUGUACUUUGGGCAAGUCAUCACGUUUACCAUUUUCAAGUGUGAACAAUAAAAGCAAAUUUCCUUUGGAAUUAAUUCAGGCUGAUGUAUGGCAAUCCUCGAUUUCCUCUCA